rnacentral:rRNA from 1 species
ACGCUCGACACCUACAGGAGGCAGCAGUGGGGAAUAUUGCACAAUGGGGGAAACCCUGAUGCAGCAACGCCGCGUGAAGGAAGACGGUUUUCGGAUUGUAAACUUCUGUUCUUAGUGAAGAUAGUGACGGUAGCUAAGGGGCAAGCCACGGCUAACUACGUGCCAGCAGCCGUGGUAAUCUGAGCGGGCUGGCAAGGC